rnacentral:tRNA from 1 species
UGUCUAGGAACACUUGUUAACUCUACAGCUUCAAUGUAACAUUAUAUGCUUUAACUACCUAAAC